rnacentral:rRNA from 1 species
AGUGAACGCUGGCGGUAGGCCUAACACAUGCAAGUCGAACGGCAGCACAGUAAGAGCUUGCGCUUACGGAUGGCGAGACGCGGACGGGACACGUAUACAUCCGGAUCUACUCUUUGGUGUAGGAUAACGUAGCGAGGCUUACUCUAGUAUCGCAUAUGACCUACCGUUGAAAGCAGGGGAUCUUCGCACCUGGCGCGAUUGGAUUAGCGGAUGUCGGACUAGUUAGUUGGCUGGGUAAAGACCCACCAAGGCGACGAUCGGUAGCUGGUCUGAGAGGAUGAUCAGCCACACUGGAGCUGAGACACGGUCAAGGCGCCUACGAGAGGCAGCAGUGGGGAAUGUUAGGCAGUGGGCGGAAGCCUGGUCCAGUCAUACUGCGUGGGUGGAGGAAGCCUUCGGGUUGUGAAGACGUUUUGUUGGUAAAGAACAGCAGCCGGUUGAGACCCAGCUGUUGUGACGGUACCCAAAGAAUAAGCACCGGCUAACUUCGUG